rnacentral:rRNA from 1 species
AGGAAAAGAAACCAACAGGGAUUGCCUUAGUAACGGCGAGUGAAGCGGCAAAAGCUCAAAUUUGAAAGCUAGCACCUUCGGUGUUCGCGUUGUAAUUUGAAGAUAGUUUCCUUGAGUAGUCCUUUAUCUAUGUUCCUUGGAACAGGACGUCAUAGAGGGUGAGAACCCCGUAUGAUUUUGGAUACUACUCUUUGUGGGAUUCUAUCGAAGAGUCGAGUUGUUUGGGAAUGCAGCUCUAAGUGGGUGGUAAAUUCCAUCUAAAGCUAAAUAUUGGCGAGAGACCGAUAGCGAACAAGUACAGUGAUGGAAAGAUGAAAAGAACUCUGAAGAGAGAGUGAAAAAGUACGUGAAAUUGCUGAAAGGGAAGGGCUUGAGGUCAGACUUGGUGUUUAAUGAUUAUCAGUUCUUCUUGGACUGUGCACUCGUUUUUCACCGGGCCAAUAUCAGUUUUAGCGGUAGAGUAACCCCUUGAAAUGUGGCUUCCUUCGGGGAGUGUUAUAGUCUUGGGGAGAUCUACUUGCUGGGACUGAGGACUGCGCUUCGGCAAGGAUAUUGGCGUAAUGACCUUAAGCCGCCCGUCUU